AUGCUGUCAGAAACUGAGACAAAUGUUGAUUAAGAUCUGCACCCGGAAAGCCUCUAAAAGUAGGUAAUGGAGCCAUGCUCGUUGUGCGAUUGCUCACGUCACCCAUUUGUAGUCCUAUUGGAAUCGCUAGACCACCCGUCGCCAUUGAAGAGGACAAUGUGCCGCUUAAUCUCUUAUUAAAAUUACCAAUUUUAAACUUUCUAGACUUUCUAAUUUUAGAC
rnacentral:lncRNA from 1 species